CCUACGGGGGGCAGCAGUGAGGAAUAUUGGUCAAUGGGCUUACGCCUGAACCAGCCAAGUCGCGUGAGGGAAGACUGCCCUAUGGGUUGUAAACCUCUUUUGUCAGGGAGCAAUUGGCGCUACGUGUAGCGUUAUCGAGAGUACCUGAAGAAAAAGCAUCGGCUAACUCCGUGCCAGCAGCCGCGGUAAUACGGAGGAUGCGAGCGUUAUCCGGAUUUAUUGGGUUUAAAGGGUGCGUAGGCGGAAUGCCAAGUCAGCGGGAAAAUCGCGGGGCUCAACCUCGCUCCGCCGUUGAAACUGGCGUUCUUGAGUGGGCGAGAAGUAUGCGGAAUGCGUGGGGUAGCGGUGAAAUGCAUAGAUAUCACGCAGAACCCCGAUUGCGAAGGCAGCAUACCGGCGCCCUACUGACGCUGAGGCACGAAAGUGCGGGUAUCGAACAGGAUUAGAUACCCCAGUAGUC
rnacentral:rRNA from 1 species